rnacentral:rRNA from 1 species
UACAGAGGCCUCGAGCGUUAGGCGGAAUCACUGGGCUUAAAGCGCGUGUAGGCGGGAGGGUACGUCGGCCGUUGAAAUCCCCCGGCUCAACCGGGGAAGUGGCGCCGAUACGGCCUUCCUGGAGGAACGUAGGGGGACCUGGAACUUCCGGUGGAGCGGUGAAAUGCGUUGAGAUCGGAAGGAACGCCCGUGGCGAAAGCGAGGUCCUGGACGUUUUCUGACGCUGAGACGCGAAAGCCAGGGGAGCAAACGGG